rnacentral:rRNA from 1 species
UACGGAGGGUGCGAGCGUUGUCCAGAAUCACUGGGCGUAAAGGGCGCGUAGGCGGCCGAGCAAGGCCGCGGUGAAAGCCCGGGGCUCAACCCCGGGUCGGCCGUGGCAACUACUGGGCUGGAGCACUGUAGGGGCGGGUGGAAUUCCGGGUGUAGCGGUGGAAUGCGUAGAGAUCCGGAGGAAGACCGGUGGCGAAGGCGGUCUGCUGGGCAGUUUCUGACACUGAUGCGCGACAGCGUGGGGAGCAAACAGG